GAUGAACGCUGGCGGCGUGCCUAAUACAUGCAAGUCGAGCGAACGGACGAGAAGCUUGCUUCUCUGAUGUUAGCGGCGGACGGGUGAGUAACACGUGGAUAACCUACCUAUAAGACUGGGAUAACUUCGGGAAACCGGAGCUAAUACCGGUUAAUAUUUUGAACCGCAUGGUUCAAAAGUGAAAGACGGUCUUGCUGUCACUUAUAGAUGGAUCUGCGCUGCAUUAGCUAGUUGGUAAGGUAACGGCUUACCAAGGCAACGAUGCAUAGCCGACCUGAGAGGGUGAUCGGCCACACUGGAACUGAGACACGGUCCAGACUCCUACGGGAGGCAGCAGUAGGGAAUCUUCCGCAAUGGGCGAAAGCCUGACGGAGCAACGCCGCGUGAGUGAUGAAGGUCUUCGGAUCGUAAAACUCUGUUAUUAGGGAAGAACAUAUGUGUAAGUAACUGUGCACAUCUUGACGGUACCUAAUCAGAAAGCCACGGCUAACUACGUG
rnacentral:rRNA from 1 species